UCAACUUCUAGUGUAACGGUUUCUUUCUUUCAUAAAGGCUCUUCUUUUCUUUCUCUCUCUCUAUCCAUUCUCUCACGUGGGUAAAUAAAGGAGAGAGAGAGAAGAGAAGAGAAUGUAUAUUUUGGUUUUGUAAUCUCUCCCUUCUGCACUGAACAAAGGUUUGCUUCAGACCCCAACACUUGUACACAGAGAAUCCAAGUUCCUUACUUCUCUUCGUCUGCUUCUCUAUCACCAGUUUGUUCCUUUCUUCACUAUCUCCUGUCUCUGUUCUUUCCCUUCAAAGUUUGUGAUUUCUAAGUAUAGUUAUCUUGAAUGCUGCAUGCAACCCCCUGUGAUUCUCACAGUCUGUUCUGCUUAUGCCUUUUGAUUAUUAGACAUUCUCUGUAGUUAGGUGUUUAGAUCGACCAGUGUUUCUAAUUUGCAUGUCAGAUAAACAUUGGUUUUGUUUCUCUCUUUUUGUAAGGUGAUACAUGGGUUCUCUUAGAGGAGACAUGGAAGAGCCUAUCCAUCAGUCACUACCUAGAGGAAACUCUCUCUACAGCUUAAAGCUCCAUGAGGUUCAAACCCACUUGGGAAGUUCCUCAAAACCGUUGGGAAGCAUGAACCUCGAUGAGCUUCUCAAGAGUGUCUUGUCUGCUGAAGCUAAUAACCCACCAGAAGAAGGAACAGAGGACGGGAUCACUCGUCAAGGAAGCUUGACUUUGCCUCGAGGUCUCAGCAGAAAGACAGUUAAUGAUGUCUGGAGAGACAUUCAACAUGACCAGAACGGAUGCAGUAGUAAUCCUAACAAGCAGCCUACACUCGGUGAAAUCACACUCGAGGAUUUGUUGAUGAAAGCUGGUGUGGUGACUGAGACAAUGACAGUCCCUCAAAACGUUGUCAACGUAGCUUCAAAUGGUCAAUGGGCUCAGUAUCCUCAGCAACAACACCAAGGGUUUAUGCCAUAUCCGGUCUGUGACAUGCAAGAAAUGGUGCCUCCAACGGCUCUGAUGAUGAGUGGAUUAUCUGAAACACAACAAGUGCAUGGGAGGAAGAGAGUGGCUUCAUCAGGAGGAGAGUUUGUGGAGAGGAUCGUGGAGAGGAAGCAGAAGAGGAUGAUCAAGAACAGAGAAUCUGCAUCACGUUCACGAGCUAGGAAACAGGCUUAUACUCAAGAAUUGGAGAUCAAGGUCUCAAGCUUAGAAGAAGAAAACCAAAAGCUUAGGAGGCUAAUGGAGGUGGAGAAGAUCCUUCCAAGUGAACCACCACCGGAACCUAAGUGGAAGCUCAGGCGAACAAGCUCUGCUUCUUUCUGAUCUUACAAGACUCUUUCUGUCUGUAUUUCUUGUUCUUCUGUGUUGGUUCAUAUUAGAGAGAGAUGCACCUUUGUUAUUUGUAUAUUUUGUAUACUUUAUCUACUCAAAACAAUGUCUUAAUUACUAUGCUGAUGCAGUGUCUAAUCAGUUCUGUAAUAUCACUCUGCAUCAUGUUUUUUUUUUUUGUGGAAUGCAAAUCAGAUCCUAAUGAAUCAUUUCUCUUUAGAGACU